UACGGAGGGGGCUAGCGUUGUUCGGAAUUACUGGGCGUAAAGCGCACGUAGGCGGCUUUGUAAGUUAGAGGUGAAAGCCCGGGGCUCAACCCCGGAAUUGCCUUUAAGACUGCAUCGCUUGAAUUGCGGAGAGGUGAGUGGAAUUCCGAGUGUAGAGGUGAAAUUCGUAGAUAUUCGGAAGAACACCAGUGGCGAAGGCGGCUCACUGGACGCGUAUUGACGCUGAGGUGCGAAAGCGUGGGGAGCAAACAGG
rnacentral:rRNA from 1 species